rnacentral:rRNA from 1 species
UACGUAGGGGGGCUAGCGUUGUCCGGAAUCAUUGGGCGUAAAGCGCGCGUAGGCGGUCAGGAAAGUCCGGUGUGAAAGUCAUAGGCUCAACCUAUGGAUGCCGCUGGAAACUGCCUGACUUGAGUCCGGAAGGGGCGAGUGGAAUCCUGGUGUAGCGGUGAAAUGCGCAGAUAUCAGGAGGAACACCGGUGGCGAAGGCGGGUCUCUGGGCAACACGUGACGCUGAGGAGCGAAAGCGUGGGGAGCGAACAGGAUUAGAAACCC